GUCGAGAAGCUUCGGCAAUGGGGGAAACCCUGACCGAGCGACGCCGCGUGGGUGAUGAAGGUCUUUGGACCGUAAAACCCUGUCAGGUGGGAUGAAAUGCCAUUUGGUUAAUACCUGAGUGGUUUGACAGUACCAUCAGAGGAAGCUCCGGCUAACUCCGUGCCAGCAGCCGCGGUAACACGGGGGGAGCAAGCGUUGUUCGGAUUCAUUGGGCGUAAAGAGCUCGUAGGCGGCUCCGUAAGUCAGAGGUGAAAGACCACGGCUCAACCGUGGGAACGCCUUUGAAACUACGGAGCUUGAGGCCGGGAGAGGAAAGUGGAAUUCCUGGAGUAGCGGUGAAAUGCGUAGAUAUCAGGAGGAACACCAGUGGCGAAGGCGACUUUCUGGACCGGUUCUGACGCUGAGGAGCGAAAGCCAGGGGAGCGAACAGG
rnacentral:rRNA from 1 species